rnacentral:sRNA from 1 species
GUGCCUUGUAGCGUGUGGAACCGGAGACGAUUCCCAGAACACGAAGGGGGAAUAAAAAACGCUUCUAAUCAUCCCUCAGAACCUGCAUAUUUUCAUACGCUUUUUGGGGGGGGCCACUAAUUGGGGCGCUUUUCCUUAGCGAACUUACUUAUCUUAAAGUCGGAGCGGAAAAUAAAGCACGCACGCAACCCAAUUUCCGGAGAACCGAGAUAGCGACGAACAACCAGGAAGCGGCUGGGUUGAGAGCUGUCCCCGGUUCUCCGUUCUGCUCUCGGGGGCACCUUCCGGGGUUCCUAAGCCGCGGGGCCCCUCGCUGCCCCUCGCUGCCCCUCGAGUCCCCUUCCCUGACCUAGGCUUUGGCCUGGGCCACUCGUUCCGGAGCCGCCAUGUCGUCCGACUUCGAAGGUUACGAGCAGGACUUCGCGGUGCUCACUGCAGAGAUCACUAGCAAGAUUGCGAGGGUCCCACGACUCCCGCCUGGGAUAUUUGCUUGAAGCCAGGAUCUCUGAACUUACACCCCACUCAUCUCCUGAAGUCCCCAGUUAGUUCUGGAGGAGAUGGAUGAUGUCUUAAAGAGGUUUAUGAGUCCAAGUAAGGGAACAAGAGGAGAGAACCAAGGUAGUAUAUACCACCAAGCUCUGCUGCCUCAGAGAUUUUUGUGUCGAAAGUGGCUGAUGGCCUCAUCUCUUCAUGAUACAUCACCUCGCCUCUUCUCUUCAGUUCUGCUUUUCUCCACUGCCGGAGAUCAUCUUGAUUUUUGUUAUUGUUGGAGACUACUUCCUUUGAAUUGAGUCCCAGAGCCUCAGAGUAUCAGGACUUGUGGUUCCAGUUAGAGUUUUACUCAUUUUUAAUUGUAAUUGUUUUAGCAGUAGAAACAUUUCUUUGGGUUAUUAGCUUUUGUAUUGGGAAGCUGUUUUACAAGGUAACAAAAUCAUCCUUGGAUACAAAGUUGUAAAUUUCCAAGAAAACAGAUCGUGUUACAAUUUUUUUCUUGCCUUUAUAUUUUAAUGUAACAAUUCUUAACACAUAGAAGGAAACUUUUUGAAUUCAGUACCUUAAAAAUACAACUGUGGGCAGAGAGUGGUGGCUUAUGCCUAUAAUCCCAAAACUUUGGGAGGCCGAGGCAGAUGGAUCACCUGAGGUCGGGAGUUUGAGACCAGCCUGGCCAACAUGGAGAAACCCUGUCUCUACUAAAAAUACAAAACUAGCGGGGUGUGGUGGCGCAUGCCUGUAACUCCAGCUGCUCAGGAGGCUGAGGCA